rnacentral:piRNA from 1 species
UUUUUGGCCGAGCUUCUGAAUUAGAG